rnacentral:rRNA from 1 species
GACGAACGCUGGCGGCGUGCUUAACACAUGCAAGUCGAACGGUAAGGCCCUUCGGGGUACACGAGUGGCGAACGGGUGAGUAACACGUGGGUGAUCUGCCCUGCACUUCGGGAUAAGCCUGGGAAACUGGGUCUAAUACCGGAUAGGACCACUGCCUGCAUGGGUGGUGGUGGAAAGCUUUUGCGGUGGGGGAUGGGCCCGCGGCCUAUCAGCUUGUUGGGGGGGUGAUGGCCUACCAAGGCGACGACGGGUAGCCGGCCUGGGAGGGUGACCGGCCACACUGGGACUGAGAUACGGCCCAGACUCCUACGGGAGGCAGCAGUGGGGAAUAUUGCACAAUGGGCGCAAGCCUGAUGCAGCGACGCCGCGUGAGGGAUGACGGCCUUCGGGUUGUAAACCUCUUUCAGCACCGACGAAGCGCAAGUGACGGUAGGUGCAGAAGAAGGACCGGCCAACUACGUGCCAGCCGCCGCAGUAA